rnacentral:rRNA from 1 species
ACUGCUCAGUAACACGUGGACAACCUACCCUGAGGACGGGGAUAAACCCGGGAAACUGGGUAUAAUACCCGAUAGAUCUAGGAAGCUGGAAUGCUCUUAGGUCCAAAGUUCCGACGCCUCAGGAUGGGUCUGCGGCCUAUCAGGGUAGUAGUGGGUGUAAAGUACCUACUAGCCUACGACGGGUACGGGUUGUGAGAGCAAGAGCCCGGAGAUGGAUUCUGAGACACGAAUCCAGGCCCUACGGGGUGCAGCAGGCGCGAAACCUUUACAAUGCUGGCAACAGCGAUAAGGGGACCUCGAGUGCCGCGAUACAAUCGCGGCUGUCUAGUUGCCUAAAAAGCAAUUGAUAGCAAGGGCCGGGCAAGACCGGUGCCAGCCGCCGCGGUAGCACCGGCGGCUCGAGUGGUAACCGCUAUUAUUGGGUCUAAAGGGUCUGUAGCCGGYUUGGUUAGUCCCUUGAGAAAUCUGGCCGCCUAACGGUCAGGCGUUCAGGGGAUACUGCUAAAGCUCGAGGCCGGGAGAGGUGAGAGGUACUUCAGGGGUAGGGGUGAAAUCUUGUAAUCCUUGAAGGACCACCAGUGGCGAAGGCGUCUCACCAGAACGGAUCUGACGGCAAGGGACGAAAGCUAGGGGCACGAACCGGAUUAGAUACCCGGGUAGUCCUAGCCGUAAACGAUACUCGCUAGGUGUCGGCCACGGUGCGACCGUGGUCGGUGCCGUAGGGAAGCCGUGAAGCGAGCCACCUGGGAAGUACGGCCGCAAGGCUGAAACUUGAAGGAAUUGGCGGGGGAGCAC